rnacentral:rRNA from 1 species
UACGGAGGGUGCAAGCGUUUAUCCGGAUUCACUGGGUUUAAAGGGUGCGUAGGUGGGUUGGUAAGUCCGUGGUGAAAUCUCCGAGCUUAACUCGGAAACUGCCGUGGAUACUAUCAAUCUUGAAUACUGUGGAGGUAAGCGGAAUAUGUCAUGUAGCGGUGAAAUGCUUAGAUAUGACAUAGAACACCGAUAGCGGAGGCAGCUUGCUACACAGUCAUUGACACUGAGGCACGAAAGCGUGGGGGAUCAAACAGG